GACGAACGCUGGCGGCGUGCUUAACACAUGCAAGUCGAGCGGUAAGGCCCUUUCGGGGGUACGACGAGCGGCGAACGGGUGAGUAACACGUGGGUGACCUGCCCUCAGUUCUGGGAUAAGCCUGGGAAACCGGGUACUAAUACUGGAUAUGACCUCAUGACGCAUGUUGUGGGGUGGAAAGCCUUGUGCGACUGAGGAUGGGCCCGCGGCCUAUCAGCUUGUUGGUGGGGUGAUGGCCUACCAAGGCGACGACGGGUAGCCGGCCUGAGAGGGCGACCGGCCACACUGGGACUGAGACACGGCCCAGACUCCUACGGGAGGCAGCAGUGGGGAAUCUUGCGCAAUGGGCGAAAGCCUGACGCAGCGACGCCGCGUGA
rnacentral:rRNA from 1 species